AUAUCACGUUGAAACACCGGUUCUCGGCCGAUCACCGAAGUUAAGCAAUAUUGAGACUGGUCAGUACCUAGAUUGGUAACCGCUCGGUAAUACUAAGUUCUGUAA